UUUGGAGGGCAUAUCUGGUGCCAGCAGCCGCGGUAAUUCCAGCUCCAAUAGCGUAUAUUAAAGUUGUUGCAGUUAAAAAGCUCCGUAGUUGAAUUUUCGGGAUUGACGUAAUGGUCACGCCUUAAGGGGUAUGAACUGUUACUGUUGAUUUCUCACCUUCUGGAAAAACUUGAUGUCCUUAAUUGGAUGUCUUGCGGAUCCAGGACCUUUACCUUGAAAAAAUUAGAGU
rnacentral:rRNA from 1 species